CCUACGGGUGGCAGCAGUGGGGAAUAUUGCACAAUGGGCGGAACCCUGAUGCAGCGACGCCGCGUGAGUGAAGAAGUAUUUCGGUAUGUAAAGCUCUAUCAGCAGGGAAGAAAAUGACGGUACCUGUCUCAGAAGCACCGGCCAACUACGUGCCAGCAGGCGCGGUAAUACGGAGGGGGCAAGCGUUAUCCGGAUUUACUGGGUGUAAAGGGAGCGCAGACGGCUGUGCAAGUCUGGAGUGAAAGGCGGGGGCCCAACCCCCGGACUGCUCUGGAAACUGGAAGGCUGGAGUGCAGGAGAGGUAAGCGGAAUUCGUGGUGUAGCGGUGAAAUGCGUAGAUAUUAGGAGGAACACCGGUGGCGAAGGCGGCUUACUGGACUGCAACUGACGUUGAGGCGCGAAAGCGUGGGGAGCAAACAGGAUUAGAUACCCCGGUAGUC
rnacentral:rRNA from 1 species